rnacentral:rRNA from 2 species
GRUSAACGCUSGCGGCGUGCCUAAUACAUGCAAGUCGAACGAGUUCUGAUUAUUGAAAGGUGCUUGCAUCUUGAUUUAAUUUUGAACGAGUGGCGGACGGGUGAGUAACACGUGGGUAACCUGCCCUUAAGUGGGGGAUAACAUUUGGAAACAGAUGCUAAUACCGCAUAAAUCCAAGAACCGCAUGGUUCUUGGCUGAAAGAUGGCGUAAGCUAUCGCUUUUGGAUGGACCCGCGGCGUAUUAGCUAGUUGGUGAGGUAACGGCUCACCAAGGCAAUGAUACGUAGCCGAACUGAGAGGUUGAUCGGCCACAUUGGGACUGAGACACGGCCCAAACUCUACGGGAGGCAGCAGUAGGGAAUCUUCCACAAUGGACGCAAGUCUGAUGGAGCAACGCCGCGUGAGUNAAGAAGGCUUUCGGGUCGUAAAACUCUGUUGUUGGAGAAGAAUGGUCGGCAGAGUAACUGUUGUCGGCGUGACGGUAUCCAACCAGAAAGCCACGGCUAACUACGUGCCAGCAGCCGCGGUAAUACGUAGGUGGCAAGCGUUAUCCGGAUUUAUUGGGCGUAAAGCGAGCGCAGGCGGUUUUUUAAGUCUGAUGUGAAAGCCCUCGGCUUAACCGAGGAAGUGCAUCGGAAACUGGGAAACUUGAGUNCAGAAGAGGACAGUGGAACUCCAUGUGUAGCGGUGAAAUGCGUAGAUAUAUGGAAGAACACCAGUGGCGAAGGCGGCUGUCUGGUCUGUAACUGACGCUGAGGCUCGAAAGCAUGGGUAGCGAACAGGAUUAGAUACCCUGGUAGUCCAUGCCGUAAACGAUGAAUGCUAGGUGUUGGAGGGUUUCCGCCCUUCAGUGCCGCAGCUAACGCAUUAAGCAUUCCGCCUGGGGAGUACGACCG